CCCCUCUCCUCCUUUCCCUCCCCAGCUUGCCAUGAAGGGCCCCCCCGGCCCCAUGGGGCUCACCGGCCGCCCGGGUCCUCUGGUGAGUGCUGCUGGCGUGGGGGCUGCUGCGGGACCCCCUUGGGGUGCCCACCUUGCACCGGGGUCUUUGGGCACCCCAGCAGACCCCCAGUGGCGGGGGCUCCACGCUCUCCGUUUUUUUUUAGGGUCUGCCAGGGCACCCGGGCCUGAAAGGGGACGCAGGGGACAUGGGGCCGCGGGUGAGUCUCGUAAGGUUGGGGGGCGGGGGCCGUUGGAAGCCUUCCUCUCCCCUCACCCCUCUUCUUCCUCUCCAUCAGGGUCCCCGGGGACUGCAGGGACCCCCGGGACCACCGGGGAAGCUGGGCAGACGGGUAAGCGCUGUGGGUUUUAAUUACAGCCCCCCCCCAAAACCUUAUACCCCGGCCACACGCAGCCAGGGGGGCGCCCCCUGCUUGCCCCCCCCCCCGGGGGGGGGGGCACGGAGCUUUUUGCCCCUUCCUCACCCCCUGGUUUCCUCUCGCAGGGUCGCGCUGGAGCAGACGGUGCCAGGGGACUCCCGGGGGACACCGGACCCAAGGGUGACCGGGGCUUCGAUGGUUUGCCGGGGCUACCGGGGGAGAAAGGCCACAGGGGUGACGUGGGGAAGCCAGGACCUGCGGGCACCCCCGGGGAGAAAGGAGCCAGGGUGAGGAGCCUGAGGGGGGGGGGUCCGGGGAAGGAUCAGGCCCUGGUGGCGUGGGGGGGACACGCUCAGCUCCUCUCUGUCCCUCCCAGGGCUCCGACGGCUUGCCGGGACCGCGGGGACAACCGGGGGAACCCG
rnacentral:lncRNA from 1 species